GUAAGGGAUAUUGCACAAUGGGCGCAAGCCUGAUGCAGCAACGCCGCGUGUCCGAUGAAGGCCUUCGGGUCGUAAAGGACUUUUCUAGCUGAUGAGAAACGGACAGUAAGCUAGGAAUAAGUGUCGGCUAACUACGUGCCAGCAGCCGCGGUAAAACGUAGGACGCAAGCGUUAUCCGGAGUUACUGGGCGUAAAGCGCGGGCAGGCGGCCAGACAAGUCUGAUGUGAAAUCUCUUCGCUCAACGGAGAGAGGCCAUUGGAAACUGUCAGGCUGGAGGGCAGUAGAGGUAGGCGGAAUUCCGGGUGGAGUGGUGAAAUGCGUAGAGAUCCGGAGGAACACCAGAGGCGAAGGCGGCCUACUGGGCUGCACCUGACGCUGAGCCGCGAAAGCCAGGGGAGCGAACGGGAUUAGAAACCCGAGUAGUCC
rnacentral:rRNA from 1 species